GAUGAACGCUGGCGGCGUGCCUAAUACAUGCAAGUCGAGCGAACAGACGAGGAGCUUGCUCCUCUGACGUUAGCGGCGGACGGGUGAGUAACACGUGGAUAACCUACCUAUAAGACUGGGAUAACUUCGGGAAACCGGAGCUAAUACCGGAUAAUAUAUUGAACCGCAUGGUUCAAUAGUGAAAGACGGUUUUGCUGUCACUUAUAGAUGGAUCCGCGCCGCAUUAGCUAGUUGGUAAGGUAACGACUUACCAAGGCAACGAUGCGUAGCCGACCUGAGAGGGUGAUCGGCCACACUGGAACUGAGACACGGUCCAGACUCCUACGGGAGGCAGCAGUAGGGAAUCUCCCGCAAUGGGCGAAGGCCUGACGGAGCAACGCCGCGUGAGUGAUGAAGGUCUUCGGAUCGUAAAACUCUGUUAUUAGGGAAGAACAAAUGUGUAAGUAACUAUGCACGUCUUGACGGUACCUAAUCAGAAAGCCACGGCUAACUACGUG
rnacentral:rRNA from 1 species